AGCAACAGAGCGCUGCGCCACCGAGCGAGUGGACGGUGGUGUCACGUGCCUGGAGGGAGGAGCUGGAAGGCUGGGGAGGAGCGCGCGCUGGCGUCCUCCCCGCUGCAGCCUCCCCCCCUCCACUCCCCCGCGGUGCUCCGGAGACCACGUGAGCUUCCCUCCCGGUCUAGCCUGGCCCCCUCGCUGACAACCGGCGCCUCUCGGUUGCCCUCUGGCCUGGCCUUUCGUGUCCGCAGAUCUCGGUUUCCUUCAGAGUCCUGCCUUCUGACAGGUGGCUCGAAGGCGUCCGGCAAGAAGAGCUCAGCUCGGCCUCUACUUGGUGAACCACUUCCCUGAUAAAAGUGUCACCUACCCCACCCCCGGAAGCUUGGGAUGAAGCGGUUUUUUAUAAUGAAGUCACCGGCCAUAUUUUUGCGAAGACUUCGCAUCAAUGGGAUGCACCUAUAGCCUAGUGUCUAAAGUUGAUUUGUUGAAACAUUAAAGCUAUUAUGUGUCAGCUUUCCUACACUAAAA